rnacentral:rRNA from 1 species
GUUAAGCGACUAAGCGUACACGGUGGAUGCCCUGGCAGUCAGAGGCGAUGAAGGACGUGCUAAUCUGCGAUAAGCGUCGGUAAGGUGAUAUGAACCGUUAUAACCGGCGAUUUCCGAAUGGGGAAACCCAGUGUGAUUCGUCACACUAUCAUUAACUGAAUCCAUAGGUUAAUGAGGCGAACCGGGGGAACUGAAACAUCUAAGUACCCCGAGGAAAAGAAAUCAACCGAGAUUCCCCCAGUAGCGGCGAGCGAACGGGGAGCAGCCCAGAGCCUGAAUCAGUGUGUGUGUUAGUGGAAG